UCGAUAUUUGAUACUCGUUACACAUUCCAAUCAGAAAACUGUUACAAACCAAUUUUGCUUCUUAAUAUUUUAUUAAAUCGUUUAUUAUUCGCUUUCUGAUUCCAUAUAAAAUGGUCAUCAGUCAGCUGGAGGCAAAUAGAAAAUAUGUUUUUCUUCAGCCACAAUUUAAUCAAUUCGGAAAAAUUUCCUUAUAAUUUUAUUAAAUUUGUUCGAAAACCAUAAAACAGAUAUAUUUUUGAAGGUCGGCCCAUCAUUGUAUAAAAUGUAUGAAUUGAUUAUCGGCAAAUGAUGAAAGGGCGAAAACAAUAAAACUUUAAAUAAACAUAGAGAACAGGCGUAAAAAUUUAAA